UACAGAGGUGGCAAGCGUUGUUCGGAAUUACUGGGCGUAAAGGGCGCGUAGGCGGUUCGUCAAGUCCUGUGUGAAAUCCCCCGGCUCAACUGGGGAACUGCACAGGAAACUAGCGGGCUUGAGUUCGGGAGAGGGAAGCGGAAUUCCGGGUGUAGCGGUGAAAUGCGUAGAUAUCCGGAGGAACACCGGUGGCGAAGGCGGGACUCUGGGCCGAUACUGACGCUGAGGAGCGAAAGCGUGGGGAGCGAACAGG
rnacentral:rRNA from 1 species